GUUUUUUUUUUUUUUAAUUUAAUUUAAUUUGUCUUUUUAGGGCCGCAGAUGAGGCAUAUGGAGGUUCCCAGACUAAGGGCCGAAUUAGAGCUAUAGCUGCUGGCCUACACCACAGCCAAAGCAAUGCAGGAUCUGAGCUGCAUCCAUGACCGACACCACAGCUCACAUCAACCCUGGAUCCUUAACCCACUGAGCGAGGCCAGGGAUCGAACUUGCAUCCUCAUGGAUACUAGUCAGGUUCCUUUCCACUGAGCCACGACAGGAACUCCAGUUUCCCUUUUUUCUACUGAAUAAAUACAUAUUCUACAAUGGAUAGAAUGAGAUUGAGAAGUCCGAGAAUUCUGUAGUGUCUAAUUUACAAAAAUGUUCAAUAGAAUUGUAAGUAGAGACAACCUGUAUGAUUGGUUUUGACUUAUAAAAAUAUGAUCCUUUUUAUGUGUGCAGUGUUCAUGUUGGGGGAGAGAGAGGAGACCUUUAUUUCUUCAAGGAAACACGAACUGGGUUAACCAUGGCUGCCUCUGGGUAGUGGGAUGGAGGAGUCUGAAAGUUCCUGCAGGGAUCGUUGGGGGAAGAGAGUGUGGAGGAGACAUUUGUCUCACAGAGACCUCCCCCCAGCUGUGGAGUGUGGCAGCGAAAAGAGAAGCAAGCGUGGAGUCUGUGAGGGUACAGAAGAUCCGGGAGAGGUCUGGACGUUUCCUGGAGCUCCAGGAAGGUGCUGGAGAACUUCCAGAAUUCCCCAUGCACACAGAGAGACAGGGAAUGAUUGCAUUCAGAAGACUUACUGACCCCUUUGUCACCAGGAGGUCCCCAAAGCCUCUUGCAAGUCUGAGAUUCCAAGGCUCUAUAGCAGGUGCCUUCAGACAGAUUGAGGGGAAACUAAAAGUUAAGUGACAGCUCAUCCUCUUCCAUGAUAGGGUGUGUCUCCCCCUGCUAUUGCUCUCCGCUGUUCAUUCCCUGCCCUAAACACACAGUGGAGCUCGAGACAGUAUAGAUUUCGUUCCCCACAUGCCCUGCAUUUAAUUCUCCUUUGCACUGUCAUCCAAUGUAUUACAACACUCUUUAGCUGGCAGUGUGGGGCCUUUGCUUCUUUCUUUCCCCACCUAGAUUCUCCUAGGAAAUCCACCAGUUC
rnacentral:lncRNA from 1 species